rnacentral:rRNA from 1 species
AUGAACGCUGGCGGCGUGCCUAAUACAUGCACGUCGAGCGAACAGACGAGGAGCUUGCUCCUCUGACGUUAGCGGCGGACGGGUGAGUAACACGUGGAUAACCUACCUAUAAGACUGGGAUAACUUCGGGAAACCGGAGCUAAUACCGGAUAAUAUAUUUAACCGCAUGGUUCAAUAGUGAAAGACGGUUUUGCUGUCACUUAUAGAUGGAUUCGCGCCGCAUUAGCUAGUUGGUAAGGUAACGGCUUACCAAGGCAACGAUGCGUAGCCGACCUGAGAGGGUGAUCGGCCACACUGGAACUGAGACACGGUCCAGACUCCUACGGGAGGCAGCAGUAGGGAAUCUUCCGCAAUGGGCGAAAGCCUGACGGAGCAACGCCGCGUGAGUGAUGAAGGUCUUCGGAUCGUAAAACUCUGUUAUUAGGGAAGAACAAAUGUGUAAGUAACUAUGCACGUCUUGACGGUACCUAAUCAGAAAGCCACGGCUAACUACGUG